rnacentral:misc_RNA from 1 species
GAUGAAGAACGUAGCGAAAUGCGAUAAGUAAUGUGAAUUGCAGAAUUCAGUGAAUCAUCGAAUCUUUGAACGCACAUUGCGCCAGCCAGUAAUCUGGCGGGCAUGCCUGUUCGAGCGUCAUUUCAACCAUCAAGCCCCCGGCUUGUGUUGGGGACCUGCGGCUGCCGCAGGCCCUGAAAACCAGUGGCGGGCUCGCUAGUCACUCCGAGCGUAGUAAUACAUCUCGCUCAGGGCGUGCUGCGGGUUCCGGCCGUUAAAAAGCCUUAUUUACCCAAGGUUGACCUCGGAUCAGGUAGGAAGACCCGCUGAACUUAAGCAUAUCAAUAAGCGGAGGA